UACGAAGGGGGCUAGCGUUACUCGGAAUUACUGGGCGUAAAGCGCACGUAGGCGGAUUGUUAAGUCGGGGGUGAAAUCCUGGAGCUCAACUCCAGAACUGCCUUCGAUACUGGCGAUCUCGAGUUCGGGAGAGGUGAGUGGAACUGCGAGUGUAGAGGUGAAAUUCGUAGAUAUCGUAAGGAAGACCAGUGGCGAAGGCGGGUCUCUGGACAGUUCCUGACGCUGAGGCACGAAGGCCAGGGGAGCAAACGGG
rnacentral:rRNA from 1 species